GCCAGCAUGGCAUAAUGGUUUGAACGUUGGACUGUGACUCUAGAAAUCAGAGUUCAAUUCUCUACUUGGCC